rnacentral:rRNA from 1 species
UGUGUUGUUGGGUAGGGGAGCGUUCUGUAAGCCUGUGAAGGUGUGUCGUGAGGCAUGCUGGAGGUAUCAGAAGUGCGAAUGCUGACAUAAGUAACGAUAAAGCGGGUGAAAAGCCCGCUCGCCGGAAGACCAAGGGUUCCUGUCCAACGUUAAUCGGGGCAGGGUGAGUCGACCCCUAAGGCGAGGCCGAAAGGCGUAGUCGAUGGGAAACGGGUUAAUAUUCCCGUACUUGGUGUUACUGCGAAGGGGGGACGGAGAAGGCUAUGUUGGCCGGGCGACGGUUGUCCCGGUUUAAGCGUGUAGGCUGGUUUUCCAGGCAAAUCCGGAAAAUCAAGGCUGAGGCGUGACGACGAGGCACUACGGUGCUGAAGCAACAAAUGCCCUGCUUCCAGGAAAAGCCUCUAAGCAUCAGGUAACAUCAAAUCGUACCCCAAACCGACACAGGUGGUCAGGUAGAGAAUACCAAGGCGCUUGAGAGAACUCGGGUGAAGGAACUAGGCAAAAUGGUGCCGUAACUUCGGGAGAAGGCACGCUGACACGUAGGUGAAGUGAUUUACUCAUGGAGCUGAAGUCAGUCGAAGAUACCAGCUGGCUGCAACUGUUUAUUAAAAACACAGCACUGUGCAAACACGAAAGUGGACGUAUACGGUGUGACGCCUGCCCGGUGCCGGAAGGUUAAUUGAUGGGGUCAGCGCAAGCGAAGCUCCUGAUCGAAGCCCCGGUAAACGGCGGCCGUAACUAUAACGGUCCUAAGGUAGCGAAAUUCCUUGUCGGGUAAGUUCCGACCUGCACGAAUGGCGUAAUGAUGGCCAGGCUGUCUCCACCCGAGACUCAGUGAAAUUGAACUCGCUGUGAAGAUGCAGUGUACCCGCGGCAAGACGGAAAGACCCCGUGAACCUUUACUAUAGCUUGACACUGAACAUUGAGCCUUGAUGUGUAGGAUAGGUGGGAGGCUUUGAAGCGUGGACGCCAGUCUGCGUGGAGCCGACCUUGAAAUACCACCCUUUAAUGUUUGAUGUUCUAACGUGGACCCGUAAUCCGGGUUGCGGACAGUGUCUGGUGGGUAGUUUGACUGGGGCGGUCUCCUCCUAAAGAGUAACGGAGGAGCACGAAGGUUGGCUAAUCCUGGUCGGACAUCAGGAGGUUAGUGCAAUGGCAUAAGCCAGCUUGACUGCGAGCGUGACGGCGCGAGCAGGUGCGAAAGCAGGUCAUAGUGAUCCGGUGGUUCUGAAUGGAAGGGCCAUCGCUCAACGGAUAAAAGGUACUCCGGGGAUAACAGGCUGAUACCGCCCAAGAGUUCAUAUCGACGGCGGUGUUUGGCACCUCGAUGUCGGCUCAUCACAUCCUGGGGCUGAAGUAGGUCCCAAGGGUAUGGCUGUUCGCCAUUUAAAGUGGUACGCGAGCUGGGUUUAGAACGUCGUGAGACAGUUCGGUCCCUAUCUGCCGUGGGCGCUGGAGAACUGAGGGGGGCUGCUCCUAGUACGAGAGGACCGGAGUGGACGCAUCACUGGUGUUCGGGUUGUCAUGCCAAUGGCAC